rnacentral:rRNA from 1 species
GACGAACGCUGGCGGCGUGCUUAACACAUGCAAGUCGAACGGAAAGGCCCCCUUGUGGGGUACUCGAGUGGCGAACGGGUGAGUAACACGUGAGUAACCUACCCUUGACUUUGGGAUAACUUCAGGAAACUGGGGCUAAUACCGGAUCGGAGCUCCGGCUGCAUGGGGGGGGUUGGAAAGUUUCGGCGGUUGGGGAUGGGCUCGCGGCUUAUCAGCUGGUUGGUGGGGUAGUGGCUCACCAAGGCUUUGACGGGUAGCCGGCCUGAGAGGGUGACCGGCCACAUUGGGACUGAGAUACGGCCCAGACUCCUACGGGAGGCAGCAGUGGGGAAUAUUGCACAAUGGGCGGAAGCCUGAUGCAGCAACGCCGCGUGCGGGAUGACGGCCUUCGGGUUGUAAACCGCUUUCGCCUGUGACGAAGCGUGAGUGACGGUAAUGGGUAAAGAAGCACCGGCUAACUACGUG